rnacentral:rRNA from 1 species
GACGAACCGUGCGAACGUUGUUCGGAAUCACUGGGCUUAAAGGGCGCGUAGGCGGGUUCUCAAGUCUGUGGUGAAAUCCUCCAGCUUAACUGGAGAAGUGCCGUGGAUACUGGGGACCUCGAGGUGGGUAGGGGCAUCUGGAACAGCCGGUGGAGCGGUGAAAUGCGUUGAUAUCGGAAGGAACGCCGGUGGCGAAAGCGCACUACUGGUCCUCUUCUGACGCUGAGGCGCGAAAGCCAGGGGAGCAAACGGG